rnacentral:rRNA from 1 species
GAAUUUUCCACAAUGGGCGAGAGCCUGACGGAGCAAGACCGCGUGGGGGAUGAAGGCUCUUGGGUUGUAAACCCCUUUUCUCAGGGAAGAAGUUCUGACGGUACCUGAGGAAUCAGCAUCGACUAACUCCGUGCCAGCAGCCGCGGUAAGACGGAGGAUGCAAGCGUUAUCCGGAAUUAUUGGGCGUAAAGCGUUCGUAGGUGGCUGUUCAAGUCUGCCGUUAAAGACCGGGGCUUAACUCCGGAAAAACUGUGGAAACUGAACAGCUAGAGUCGGGUAGGGGUAAGGGGAAUUCCCGGUGUAGCGGUGAAAUGCGUAGAUAUCGGGAAGAACACCGGUGGCGUAGGCGCCUUACUGGACCCUAACUGACACUGAGGGACGAAAGCUAGGGGAGCGAAAGGG